rnacentral:rRNA from 1 species
AGAGUUUGAUCCUGGCUCAGGAUGAACGCUAGCUACAGGCUUAACACAUGCAAGUCGAGGGGCAGCAUGGUCUUAGCUUGCUAAGGCCGAUGGCGACCGGCGCACGGGUGAGUAACACGUAUCCAACCUGCCGUCUACUCUUGGACAGCCUUCUGAAAGGAAGAUUAAUACAAGAUGGCAUCAUGAGUCCGCAUGUUCACAUGAUUAAAGGUAUUCCGGUAGACGAUGGGGAUGCGUUCCAUUAGAUAGUAGGCGGGGUAACGGCCCACCUAGUCUUCGAUGGAUAGGGGUUCUGAGAGGAAGGUCCCCCACAUUGGAACUGAGACACGGUCCAAACUCCUACGGGAGGCAGCAGUGAGGAAUAUUGGUCAAUGGGCGAGAGCCUGAACCAGCCAAGUAGCGUGAAGGAUGACUGCCCUAUGGGUUGUAAACUUCUUUUAUAAAGGAAUAAAGUCGGGUAUGCAUACCCGUUUGCAUGUACUUUAUGAAUAAGGAUCGGCUAACUCCGUGCCAGCAGCCGCGGUAAUACGGAGGAUCCGAGCGUUAUCCGGAUUUAUUGGGUUUAAAGGGAGCGUAGGCGGACGCUUAAGUCAGUUGUGAAAGUUUGCGGCUCAACCGUAAAAUUGCAGUUGAUACUGGGUGUCUUGAGUACAGUAGAGGCAGGCGGAAUUCGUGGUGUAGCGGUGAAAUGCUUAGAUAUCACGAAGAACUCCGAUUGCGAAGGCAGCUUACUGGACUGUAACUGACGCUGAUGCUCGAAAGUGUGGGUAUCAAACAGGAUUAGAUACCCUGGUAGUCCACACAGUAAACGAUGAAUACUCGCUGUUUGCGAUAUACAGUAAGCGGCCAAGCGAAAGCGUUAAGUAUUCCACCUGGGGAGUACGCCGGCAACGGUGAAACUCAAAGGAAUUGACGGGGGCCCGCACAAGCGGAGGAACAUGUGGUUUAAUUCGAUGAUACGCGAGGAACCUUACCCGGGCUUGAAUUGCAACUGAAUGAUGUGGAGACAUGUCAGCCGCAAGGCAGUUGUGAAGGUGCUGCAUGGUUGUCGUCAGCUCGUGCCGUGAGGUGUCGGCUUAAGUGCCAUAACGAGCGCAACCCUUGCCGAUAGUUACUAACAGGUUAUGCUGAGGACUCUGUCGGGACUGCCAUCGUAAGAUGUGAGGAAGGUGGGGAUGACGUCAAAUCAGCACGGCCCUUACGUCCGGGGCUACACACGUGUUACAAUGGGGGGUACAGAAGGCAGCUACACGGCGACGUGAUGCUAAUCCCAAAAACCUCUCUCAGUUCGGAUCGAAGUCUGCAACCCGACUUCGUGAAGCUGGAUUCGCUAGUAAUCGCGCAUCAGCCAUGGCGCGGUGAAUACGUUCCCGGGCCUUGUACACACCGCCCGUCAAGCCAUGGGAGCCGGGGGUACCUGAAGUGCGUAACCGCAAGGAGCGCCCUAGGGUAAAACUGGUGACUGGGGCUAAGUCGUAACAAGGUAGCCGUACCGGAAGGUGCGGCUG